GGCUCGGUGGUGGAUGGUCCAUACCUGUAAAACAUGAACGACCGGGAUGCAUAUAUACAGGGGAGCCCGUUCGAUUCGGGCCCGAGCCA